AAGUCGUAACAAGGUUUCCGUAGGUGAACCUGCGGAAGGAUCAUUACUGAGUAAGGGUUCUUUUGAGCCCGAUCUCCAACCAUUUGUUUAAAUUACCUUGUUGCUUUGGCAGGCCCGCCCUUUUCGGAGGGCCGCCGGAGGGGUUCAAUCACCUCUGGUCAGUGCUUGCCAAUAGCCAACCUAAAUUCUUUUAAUUAUGUUGUCUGAAUCUUUAAUAAAAAAUUAAUAAAA
rnacentral:misc_RNA from 1 species